rnacentral:rRNA from 1 species
AACGAACGCUGGCGGCAGGCCUAACACAUGCAAGUCGAACGCCCUAGCAAUAGGGAGUGGCGCACGGGUGCGUAACACGUGGGAAUGUACCCCAGGGUAAGGAAUAAUGUCUGGAAACGGACACUAAUACCUUAUAAUGACUUUGGUCCAAAGAUUUAUCGCCCUGGGAUCAGCCCGCGUCUGAUUAGCUAGUUGGUGAGGUAAUGGCUCACCAAGGCAACGAUCAGUAGCUGGUCUGAGAGGAUGAUCAGCCACACUGGAACUGAGACACGGUCCAGACUCCUACGGGAGGCAGCAGUGAGGAAUAUUGCACAAUGGAGGAAACUCUGAUGCAGCCAUGCCGCGUGAGUGAAGAAGGCCUUCGGGUUGUAAAGCUCUUUUAGUCGUGAAGAUAAUGACGGUAGCGACAGAAAAAGCCCCGGCUAAAUUCGUGCCAGCCGCCGCAGUAA